GAAGUAAAAGUCGUAACAAGGUUUCCGUAGGUGAACCUGCGGAAGGAUCAUUAUUGAAUAAACUUGGUUGGGUUGCUGCUGGUUCUUAGGAACAUGUGCACACCUGGCGCCAUUUUUACCACCUGUGCACCUUUUGUAGACCUGGAUAUCUCUCGAGGCAACUCGGUUUGAGGACUGCUGCGCGCAAGCCAGCUUUCCUUACAUUUCCGGUCUAUGUUUUUAUAUACCCCAAGAAAGUAACAGAAUGUCAUUAACAGGCCUUGGUGCCUUUAAAUAAAAUACAACUUUCAACAACGGAUCUCUUGGCUCUCGCAUCGAUGAAGAACGCAGCGAAAUGCGAUAAGUAAUGUGAAUUGCAGAAUUCAGUGAAUCAUCGAAUCUUUGAACGCACCUUGCGCUCCUUGGUAUUCCGAGGAGCAUGCCUGUUUGAGUGUCAUUAAAUUCUCAACCUUUCUGGCUUUUGUUAGUCCGUCAGGCUUGGAUAUGGGAGUUGCGGGCUUCUCAGAAGUCAGCUCUUCUUAAAUGCAUUAGCGAAACCUUUGUUGACCAUCUCUGGUGUGAUAAUUAUCUACGCCAUUGGGAAGCAGCAUUAAAAUCGGUUUAGCUUCUAACCGUCUUAUAGACAAUUUCUUGACAUUUGACCUCAAAUCAGGUAGGACUACCCGCUGAACUUAAGCAUAUCAAUAAGCGGAGGAAAAGAAACUAACAAGGAUUCCCCUAGUAACUGCGAGUGAAGCGGGAAAAGCUCAAAUUUAAAAUCUGGUAGUCCUUGCGGCUGCCCGAGUUGUAAUCUAGAGAAGCGUUAUCCGCGCUGGACCGUGUACAAGUCUCCUGGAACGGAGCGUCAUAGAGGGUGAGAAUCCCGUCUUUGGCACGGACUACCAGGGCUUUGUGAUGCGCUCUCAAAGAGUCGAGUUGUUUGGGAAUGCAGCUCUAAAUGGGUGGUAAAUUCCAUCUAAAGCUAAAUAUUGGCGAGAGACCGAUAGCGAACAAGUACCGUGAGGGAAAGAUGAAAAGAACUUUGGAAAGAGAGUUAAACAGUACGUGAAAUUGU
rnacentral:rRNA from 1 species